rnacentral:rRNA from 1 species
AUUGAACGCUGGCGGCAUGCUUUACACAUGCAAGUCGAACGGCAGCGCGGGCUUCGGCCUGGCGGCGAGUGGCGAACGGGUGAGUAAUGCAUCGGAACGUGCCCAGUAGUGGGGGAGAGCCCGGCGAAAGCCGGAUUAAUACCGCAUACGACCUGAGGGUGCAAGCGGGGGACCGAAGGGAUUCGCGGUAGUGGAGCGGCCCAUGUCGGAUCAACCAGUUGGUGGGGGAGUGGCUGACCAAGGCGAUGAUCGGUAGGUGGUCUGAGAGGGUGACCGGCCACAGUGGGACUGAGAUACGGCCCAGAGUCCUACGGGAGGCAGCGGUGGGGAAUAUUGCACAAUGGGCGGAGGCCUGAUGCAGCAACGCCGCGUGCGGGAUGACGGCCUUCGGGUUGUAAACCGCUUUCGCCUGUGACGAAGCGUGAGUGACGGUAAUGGGUAAAGAAGCACCGGCUAACUACGUG